GAAGGUAUAGCUCAAGUGGUAGAGUGCAUGCUUAGCAUGCAGGAGGUUCUGGGUUCAGUUCCCCGGUACCUCCU
rnacentral:tRNA from 1 species